rnacentral:ncRNA from 1 species
GUUAGUCAAGUCAACCGUCAAAUCCUAGGGCUCAACGCUUGGACAUGCGGUGGAAACUACCAAGCUGGAAUACUAUAGGGGAAGAGGGAAUUUUCGUUGGAGCGGUGAAAUGCAUCGAGAUCGGAUAGAACACCAGCGACGGAAGCACUCUGUUGGCUGACACUCAC